AGUGAACGCUGGCGGUAGGCCUAACACAGGCCAGUCGAACGGCAGCACAGUAAGAGCUUGCUCUUACGGGUGGCGAGUGGCGGACGGGUGAGGAAUACAUCGGAAUCUACUUUUUCGUGGGGGAUAACGUAGGGAAACUUACGCUAAUACCGCAUACGACCUACGGGUGAAAGCAGGGGAUCUUCGGACCUUGCGCGAUUGAAUGAGCCGAUGUCGGAUUAGCUAGUUGGCGGGGUAAAGGCCCACCAAGGCGACGAUCCGUAGCUGGUCUGAGAGGAUGAUCAGCCACACUGGAACUGAGACACGGUCCAGACUCCUACGGGAGGCAGCAGUGGGGAAUAUUGGACAAUGGGCGCAAGCCUGAUCCAGCCAUACCGCGUGGGUGAAGAAGGCCUUCGGGUUGUAAAGCCCUUUUGUUGGGAAAGAAAAGCAGCAGGUUAAUACCCCGCUGUUCUGACGGUACCCAAAGAAUAAGCACCGGCUAACUUCGUG
rnacentral:rRNA from 1 species